CGCACGCCACACCCCUUCCUCCCUCCUCGAUCUCCAUCCCUCCUCAGCCGCCACAGCAAGAAGCCACAAACCCCUAGACAUCUCCCUCUCGUUGCGUGUUCGUGCUCAUCGCCGCCAUUCCUCCCGCUCCCCAUUGUUGCCCUGACGCCUCCACCGGCUAGGUACCAUGGAUCCACGGUCGAUGGGAGAGUACGCCAUCGUUGAUCCAUCACUUAGGUUAGUGGCGCAUGGGUCGGGUCUGGGCAGAAGGCCGGCGCCUGCGGGGGAAACGGCGGGGGUUGGUGCACCGGAAAAUAAGGAUGGGGUUGGCCGUAGAGGGAGGCUUGCCGGCCAAAACAGCCGGAGCAAGGAGGCAGUGUCGCCAUGGAGGGAGGCCCACUGGCCGGAGCAGCAGGAGCAACUGCAGCCGCUAGUCGGCCCGACGCACCGCCUCCUCUGCUGCGGCCUGCACGGUCAAGAGGGGCAGCUGUGCCAUAGCUGGCGGCGAGUUCAGCGGCCGCCGCCUCCUCUCCUCUACAAAUCCACAGGUGCAUAUGCGUUGUUCCCCUCGGUUGGAUUGUUCAUCCUUCUUCUCCGGUAGGGUGCUCGUCCGUUGUAGUAGCCUUCGUGUGCUGGAUGAACACUGCCGGUUGAGGUUGGUUUCUUCCCAUUGUGUCCUGCAUCGAUAGUCGCAUCUUUCUACCAUUGCCAUUGAGGUUAGUAUGCGCUCUGUUUGCUUGCAUGCAACAUGUUCGAUGAAAUGUGUGUGUGAUGACCUUUCUUUUUCUCAUCUUGUUUUGCCUGUUGGUCCGCCUUGGUAUAGUCCUCUGUAUAGCAUGCUUUCUUGGCCUGGUUCUACUUUCUAGCUCUGGUAAUUAGCUAUUGUUUUGCUUGUCUAUAAGCCUGCUGUUUUUAUGUCUGUGUGACUGUUAUGCAUGUACUCUGGCAGGUCUAUCUCCGUUUGUCUAGCAGGUUCAACAAUCUGCUAGGUUGCUGCAUCUGCAACUCUGUGAUGUUGUUCAAGGUUUGCUUUAUUCUUUCUUCCAUACAUGCUUGUUCUUUCUCGCUACACACAUGCUUCUCUUUCUUAAGUACCGUAAUACUGUUGUGCUGUCUCUAGCUACAUGCAUUUACCUUUCUUUGUCGGUCUAAUUGUCUAUUGAUGGGCCAUGGUUAUGUGAACUUUAAGAUGUAAUAAUAUAUGGUGUUUAAAUUUGCAUUGUUCAUUAGCGCCUAUGAUUUUGUGCCAAAGAGUCAUCUGAUAUCCAAGUUUUUAUAUAUUUUUACACCAUUGCAGUCCAUAACUUGCUUCAAUCUUGUUACACAUUGGAUUGAAGAUAGAUCGUCCAUUUUUAUUGACUUUUUUUGUAUAUUGUGAAGUCAUGGCCCCUAUUUAUAUUCAUGUUUAGUUUGCUGUGUAGUUCAUGUAUGCUCUGUAAAGAGCAUGUACAGCUAAUGGGUUUAAUUCAUUUGUUCCUUUUUUAGAUGUUCCGUAUCGGUGCAUAGUUCAACUUGAUCCAUACAGUGCCAGUGAUUUUGUAAGAUUUGCCCAUAUCUUUUGAGGAAAUAAUUAUGCUUCAGGAAGAUGCUAAAUAAGCUGGUCAGCUCUGCCUUUGAGGCAAAAGGUCAGCAAAUCUUCUUGGUUGUUCCUCUCAAGGUGAUGAGAGAUUGCUUGUUGCAGAGUACAUGCCUAGAAAGACAUAUCUUCCCCUGUGAGUAUGUUAACUGCUUGUGAGCAGGCCACUACUUUACAAAGUUUACUACAGCAGCAAGGACGCUAUGCUUUGAUUUGUUGAGCCACCCUCUGUUAUUUCGUUCAUGGGCAGAGUGGGUGGAGGUGCAGCGCCUCAGCAUGUCAAGGUAUAGGGAUGGAACCUGAUCCUUAUUUCACAAUAUGUUUCUGUUCUUACGAUAAGUGACUCAUGUUUCUUCUAUGUAAUGCUAGGAUAAAGUUUGAUUUUCUCUGUACUACUCCAACUUAGUCCUAUCUCUAACUACAAAAAUUUUAUGUAUCAUUUUAAUUUAUACUUAUUAUUAUUAGAAUUAGAUGGUGUGCAUUGAAUAUGAAAAUAGGGCCAAGUACUGCUAUGGCGCAUAUCCUAUUGAGUUUUCUUGGAACCUUGAAGCUCACGGUUGAUCUCUUUGUAGCUUAUAACAGAUAGUUAUAUCAUUUUACUGGAUGUAUAAUCAGAAAGGUGUGGUCCAACAAAUUGUAAUAUGUGACAUAAAAUAUGAUAAUGCAGGCUUCCUUUAUUUUCUUCCAUGGGCAGAGUGGGUGGAGGUACACAGCCUCAAGAUGUCAAGGAAUUUGAUUCUUACUUGACAGUGAACUUAGAAGGGUUUUCCAUCUUAUAAUAUGAUAAUGCAGGCUUCCUUACCUUGACCAGAAUUUAGCAUUUUGGUAUUGCCUCCUUACCAUGCAAUGUAGGCUUCAGCAUCACUUUUUAAACAUAAGCCAUCAUUUGUGCCGGUCCUUAUCAAGCAGUUCCUUAUCAAAGGGGAUUUUGAUGUUCUUGCUGAAAUAGAGGGCAUGAAUUGAUGAUUUCUAGGAUUAGUAAACAUUAGCACAACCCUGAUUAUCUAGUUGAGAAAUCAUAUAUUUUAAUUGCGACAAGUAAUGUAGGCUGCAAGAGUUGUCUUUUAAGUAAUGCAAAUUCUUCUGUCAGUAGCUAAUGUUGUUUAGAAAUUUUGAUUUCCCAUUUUUUCUGUAGCUCUCUUCAUUUUUGUCACUGGUUUACAUUUGUUUUAUAUCUUUCUCAUUUUGUUCAUAGCAUUUUGUCAUGUUUCUUCCUUUUUACAGAGCUAUUUUGAUGUUGUGUCAAGAAUUUUGGCUAAUUGAUGGCUCAAAUGAUUGCAAGCAUAUCAUAUUGUCGGCUUGAGUGAUUGCAGGCAUAUCAACCACAGGAAAACGUAGCACAGAAGAUUCUUGCUUCCCUUUUUUGUUUUGGUGUGAAAUUGCAGUCAAGCUACUUACAUACGACUCUUAUUAGGGCAUUCAAGAAUUUUCAAAUUGGGUCUGCUUCUGUUUUAGACUGAUUUAUGUUUCUACUGUAGGUGUUGCUCUAUGGCAGUACAUACUUUUUGCACUGUUGUAGAGAUAAGAACAGCGUGCUACCUAUUUAUGCUUUUAGUAUUGCUUGAUAGACCGAGGCCCUAUUGUGGAACUGAUAUAGUUUUUUAAAUGUUGGAACAAAUGAUGGUUUGAUCUGUGUGCAGUUGCAUUGUUUAUUUCUCAACAGGUGGAGAUUGAAUUUAAUAAUUAUAUUGACAUGCACCGGUGCUUUUUGUUAUUGUAGUUGCCUAAUUAUUGUUCUCUACUUCCUCUGAUCCAAAAUAAGUGUAGUGGCUUGAACUAAAACCAUGGCAUUUAUUUUGGAUUGGAGGGAGUACCAUUUUUGUUCUUCUGCAACAUAGCAUGUGCAGUACUAUACUCCUUAUUAUGCUAAGGCACUAUGCAUGACUUCAGAAUAUUAACAUUUCCAAAAUUUACUGUCGAGUUGUAUGGUCUAUACAUGUUAUACAAAUAUGUUUUUUUAACUCAGAUUUCUCGGCGUGAUAACCAUAUUUUUCAACCAAAAAGAUGCUUCCUUAACUGGUCUAUACAUGUUAUACAAAUAUGAUUUCUUUUUCAAACUAAGAUUUCUCAGCGUGAUUACCAUAUUUUUAAUAUAGCAUGAUUUAACACAUGGGCUUUCUACUAUCAAUAUCGAAUAUGUCCUUGCAAAAUGAAACUGUUUUCAUCGACAACAUGGCUUUAGUGGGUCUCUGUGCCAUUUGGCGCAAUGGGUCAACUAGUAAGCUUAACAGAUAGAAGAAUUUCUGCACUGGUAUCGUCUGUGAGGAAAGAUUCUUGCAGGAAUUCGCUGUGCUCCAAUGCAGAUGCAUGCAAGGGGAAGACGACUAUGUUAGAAGCUGAAGGGUUACAAACCAGGUCUUUGCAAAAGAUCCAAACUCUAGGAGAUAAUAAACC